UAAACUCUAAAAGCUCGUUUCCUGUUGAUGGAUGGAGAAGAAUUACCUUGUUAUUUCUUAGACAUUUUUGUUCACAUUUGUCGUUCAAAUGCUGCAAUUUCUCCACCCGCUAACACCAACAAUAGCCAUUAAAGGAGGACAAUGAAUUUCUAAUACAAGGUCACACAAUGGGGGACCGUACCACAGAUAGCCCCUCUCGAAUCCCUGUGCUCUCUGACAGUCACCACAUUAACGGGACCACACAAAAGCCAGAGUCACCAGACAGCAAUGGCCAGAAAAGAGAGGCACAGACUCAUGGAGAGUCCAAAGGCUUUGAGACCUUUGUUAUGACAGGUGAAAUGAUUAUUAGAACGUCCCAGAAAACAUGCAAUCCUUCAAGUAGAAAUCCGUCGGACAGCACAGAUGAGUCCUUCGACAGUCAGUCUAGUCUUCCUGGCACUAUGAAAUCAAAUCAUAUGUCAGCUGAAUCCGGUUUUGGGGAUCAUGAUGCUCAUGAAAAGACUCUAGUCACAGAAGAUAUAGGUAACACAAUGAGUUCUUCACAAAGUUCUACUCUGUCUUCUGAUAUCAGUUCAGAUGUGUCAGUGCAGACAGUGAUGAAACGGAAUAUAGGCAGUGAAUCGGCUAGUGUGACCGAUAGUAGCUCUGGGGUUGUGUCUCCUGAAAAUUCAAAUGGGGAUUUAACUUUGGAAGGUUCCAUGAAAGAUUCUGUUGAAUCAGGGAAACUGGUGACCAGUAAAAGUGCUGAUAAAAUUGCCUCAACAAGUCACCAAGCGGUGAGAGGAAGUAAAAGUCAGGAAUUACGAACAAAUAGUGAAUUCUCCACCGUGAACAUUGACAUUGAGGAAGAUGUGGCACAUUCUCUGGACCAGAUUCCUCAGCAAGGACUUAACUUGUAUGAAAUAAGUAAAAGUGCAGAAAGUUCCCCAGAACAAAGUACUUCGGACAGAAAUCAUGAAAGGGAGUUCAUACCGGGCUUCAUAAGUCUUGAUGACAGUGUGAAUGGUGCUAAAACCUGUGAUACAAAUAGUGACCAAGAAAUAUGUGCCAAACCUGGGGACAGUAGCAUCCAGUCUAAUGCAGGUUCUCAUCGAUCAGAGCGAGACUCUUUAGAUCCAUCCAUGGACCCUAAUCUUUUAGAUUAUCAGCCACCAGUGAAAAGUGUGGAUCAACCAUCUGCCAAUAGAUUGGCCAAAAGGUUGUUCCUUAUGGAUGGGUUCAAGAAGUCAGAUGUUGCAAGACAUCUGUCCAAAAAAAAUGAAUUCAGUUCACUGGUGGCUGAGGAGUAUUUGAAAUAUUUUAACUUUUAUGGAGAUACUCUAGAUAAAGCAUUAAGGAGAUUUCUCAGUCAUUUUUCUCUGAUUGGUGAAACCCAGGAGAGAGAGCGUGUUCUGGAUCAUUUUUCCAGACGAUUCAUAGAGUGCAAUGCUGGGUCCUUUAAUUCUGUAGAUGCCUGUCAUACCCUCACUUGUGCCAUUAUGUUGCUUAACACUGAUCUUCAUGGACAGGGCAUUAGAAAGAAGAUGACCUGUUCCGAAUUCAUCGAGAAUUUAGCAGAAUUGAAUGAUGGAGAGAAUUUUGAUAAGGAAGUUUUGAAAUCAAUUUACCAUGCCAUUAAAACAGAGCAGAUAGAGUGGGCUGUGGAUGAGGAUGGUGGUGAAGAUGAUACCUCACAAGGAGAGGAAAAGCUAUCUCCCUCUGAUCAGCCAACCAUUGUUCUACACAAUCCGUACCUAGAUAUUCCUGAUCCUAAUCAGGCUACAGAAUAUAAGAGUGGUUACAUAAUGAGAAAAUGUUGCAAGGAACCUGACAGCAAAAGAACUCCACUUGGUAAGAGAGCUUGGAAGGUUUAUUACUCAUCAUUAAAGGACAUGGUACUAUACUUAUACAAAGAUCAGCACAGUAAGGGUCAAGUGGUUGAGGGAACACAGAAUGCCAUUAGGAUACACCAUGGUCUGGCAUCCAAAGCCUCUGACUAUGUCAAGAAACAGCAUGUGUUCCGACUGGAGACGGCAGACUGGGCUGAAUACCUCAUCCAAACAAGUGAUAGCAAUGAACUACAGGCUUGGAUUGACACAAUCAACUUUGUGGCUGCCAGUUUCUCUGCACCAGCCUUGCCAAGUGCAGUUGGGUCACAGAAGAAGUUCCAGCGCCCUCUGUUACCAGCUUCAUAUACCAAACUAAACCUGAGGGAGCAGUUGGAGAGUCAUGAUAACAAAGCUCAUGAGAUGGAAAGAGAUUUACAUGAACACAGGCAAUAUCCGCCAGAAAAGGGUUCUAAAGCUAGAGUUAUCCAGGAUUAUAUAGAAAGAGAAAACUACUUAGAGCACGAGCUGAAACGGUACAAAACAUAUGUCUACUUACUAAAAGCACACAUGGCUGCCUAUCCUGAAUUAGAGCCUUCACUUGUGGAGACAGUAAUCGGUGAAGUGGACGAGUCUGGUGACAUAGAUAAACGAGGCUCACCCUCACAUGGAGGCGGGGUCCAGCGGAGUCUGUCUGAGAGUGAACCUUCAUGAGAUUAAAAAAAAAUUGACUAACAGGAAUGAUGUUGAUGAAAAGCCUGGGAAAGGCCUUGUUAAUGCGCGAGGACAGCGGCCAAGGCGGCAGGUUCUGAUCGAAUCAUCCAUCUAGUUACUCGGGAAUUGUAUUUCAUCAGGUGUCCUACAUUGACUGCAAUAUCGGCAUUCAUUUUUUAUUUGCAAUAUAUUUGUUACGUAUAAAGUUUUUAGGUACUUUUAUGAUUAGCAUUUCACAUAGCAGCAGUGGGCAUCGGGUCAUAAUGUAUUUGUAUAUAUUACAUGAACUGCAAUAAAUUUAUGACUUUAA